CCACACAACCCAGAGAGAGGGAGGAGAGCGGAACAAGAUGGAGGGACUGAUGGAAGGGAGGAGGGAGAAAAAAGGAGGAGAGGAGAGUUGAAGAGAGAAGGUUAGAGAGGAUAUGGGAUGUUUCUGUUCUUGUUUGUUUGAUCGAAAAAUUGAUUAAUUAAGGGGUUAUUACACAUAGCUAAUACACAUGGGCUGAUGGGUCCCACAUAGAAGCACAUCAGUUAUUGAAGCUCACGUCCAAGCUCAAGUAUGUUGGGGGUACGCCUACCCCCGUACAACAAAUCCAUAUUCUUUGAUCCGUUUGACAAUUACAAAUUUGACUUUGUAUUCGUUCCAUUUUUUUCCCCAGCUCAUUCUCUCCUCCCUUCCUUUCAUUUGGCACAGGGGCACCAAAGCCCACUCUUGCAGUUUAAGCGGGGGUGCGCUCCCUCGCCCCUUUCGCCCCUCUCCCUCACAGCAGGUGCGUGUCCUUCCCUAACAUUUGUUAUCUCUAAUCCUGCAGGUUCCGAGCACAAAAAGAGCGUAGUAAAGUCUCUCACCACCCUAAUCCCUCCAUCCCUCAACUCCUUUUUUGAUGGCGUUUUUUUUCUCUCUCCAUUUUUGGGGGGAAGGGAAGGGAGAGACACUUCACUCUGAUUACCACACAGUUUUAUCUAUCUGGGAGCCCCUUGGAAAUUCAGAAUCGUGGGGGCUUCGUCUGUUUAGCUCCCCGGUCCCGACUUUCCCUUUUUGCCCCCUCUACCCGUAUCAUUUACAGUCAUUUUCUGGCAAUUAAAAGGGAGCACUGCUGCGGGUUUUUGGCCUGCAGUGCCCGCUACAUCAUUGAUGAAUAAUUCCUCAGCCUGCAAACUGGAAAGCUAGCCUUUCUUUCAUGUGGGGCUUUGUUGAUUUACCAUUAAAACUUGCUCUGCGGUGGGCUUUGCCGUGGAGGGCUGCUCUGUGGUUUGGUUUGUGAUGGAGGGGGAGACAUUAAAUAUGAAGUGUACAUAUGCUUCGUGUCAGUUUUCUAAAGUCUAAAUCUGGUAGCGUGUUGACUCAUUUUAUAUUUCUGCGCAUCUGGAAGGCUUGCAUUCAUAUAUACUGUUCAUUCUUUUCUCAGACACAUUGUGCUCAGACUUUAUAGUAUUACUUCAUCUUAAUUAAUCUUCAUCCAUUCAUUGAUUCAUAUAACCAUUACUGCUUUAUUAUCGUGGUUACUUAUGGGUGAUUUGACAUCACACACAGGGACGGAUCUAUCACAUAAUCACACGCACACAGACACGCAUGUAUCCACACACACACUGCCCCCCCCCCACACACCGUCUCUCUCUUUCUCUUUCUUUUUUCUUUCUUUCUCUCUCUCUUUCUCACUCACUCUCACAAACACACACACACACACACACGCACACGCACGCACGCACACACUGGUGUUGACAGUAUAGUAAAUUAACGAUACAGCCCCACUGAAUCCAUCCCUCUCCCGUGUCCCGGAGCAGCCGCUAUGUUAACUGCUCAAGCCCUGGGUAAUGGAUGGCAGCCACUCUGUUAACUGCUCUAGCCCUGGGUAAUGGAUGACAGCCAGCUCUGUUAACUGCUCCAGCCCUGGGUAAUGGAUGGCAGCCACUCUGUUAACUGCUCCAGCCCUGGGUAAUGGAUGACAGCCAGCUCUGUUAACUGCUCCAGCCCCAGGUAAUGGAUGGCAGCCACUCUGUUAACUGCUCCAGCCCUGGGUAAUGGAUGGCAGCCACUCUGUUAACUGCUCCAACCCUAGGUAAUGGAUGGCAGCCAGCUCUGUUAACUGCUCCAGCUCUGGGUAAUGGAUGGCAGCCAGCUCUGUUAACUGCUCCAGCUCUGGGUAAUGGAUGGCAGCCAGCUCUGUUAACUGCUCCAGCCCUGGGUAAUGGAUGGCAGCCAGCUCUGUUAACUGCUCAAGCCCUGGGUAAUGGAUGGCAGCCACUCCUCCAGAACCACGGGGAGGGAAGGCUGGAUCCAGGCUAGAUGGGCCUGGGAGGAAGCAGCUUCCCCCUGUCGCCAAUGUCUUUAUACCCAUCAUCUCUUACAGGCUGAUAUACGUAGGUCCAUACACAGUAGGAGACACACUCAAACACUCUCUCUCUCUCUCUCUCUCUGAUGAGUUGUGCACUGAUCAGCUGUGCGCACACACACACACACACACACACACAC